AGCAUAUUUAUUCUGAAAAUGUAUACUAAUGAGUAAAUACUUAUUUCCCUUGAUUUGUCUCUCUGGUAUGGCAAACUGAGUAUUGUCUGUUGAAUUUGAAUCCCUCAAGAGGACAUAAUGGGGAAAUUAAGCUUUAUAUGAUUUCUAAAGAAAUUCCACAGAAUAUAAAUCUGGACUAAAAAAAAAAAAAAAACUUUUAAGUGAAAAACAGUAUGAUAAACUACAAAAUGAAUGAUGCAUAUUUGUGGGCCUAUAAAUGGCUCGUCAUAAGACUUCACUUCUUGGCAUAAGUCUUUAGAUUCCUGCAGAGUUGGGUGUUGUAUUUUGGAAGUGGAUCACACUACAGUUUUGAAAAUGAGUGGUGUUAUUCUUGACUCCUUCAGAAUAUAUCCCUCUGACCUUUCAGCUGCCACCUCUUCUCUGCCUCUGUCAUAAGCCAAGCUUUGGUUAAGGAAAAUGGAUUAAUAGUUAAAACUAUUUUAUCCAUCUAGUUUCCACUCCCCAAACUAAUUUUAAACACUUGCUUCAAGGAUUUAUGUAAUCUUGGUAAAGCUAAUAAAAGCUCUAAAAUUUUAAUAAAAGUUUUAGGGAAAAUGCAACUUUUGGAUUCCUACUGUGUAAUAUUUAUAAAGUAGUUUGAAGGCAAAUACCCAACACAAGUUAAAAGCAAAAGCCAGUGAUUAUAAUAAUACAGUUAGUUCUGUAGCAGUCUUUAUUGACAAAUAGCUAAAAGAAGUCCCGCAUUACAUCACAGCUAUUUUUCUCCUUUUGCCAAAAUCAUUAGAUGGUGGGAAGUGCCUUUACAAAACUAUCAAAUUACUGUUGUUUCAUUUUUGGUAACUUUAGCAGCAGUUCUUUUAUUCUUCAUCUCAGCAAGAUUAUGAGGUUGAGAUACAAAGUGAAUCUAAUGCGUAACACCAUUUUCUAGGUGAGAGAUGACAGAGUUCCUCAAACUUGCCCUGGAUGCUUCUGAUCCAUCUGCAGGGUAGAGGUUAAUUUUCACUUUUGUGUCCAUUAGGAUUCCAAAUGAAUUCUG
rnacentral:lncRNA from 1 species